rnacentral:rRNA from 1 species
CAGCCGCCACGGUAAUACGUAGGGUGCAAGCGUUAAUCGGAAUUACUGGGCGUAAAGCGUGCGUAGGCGGCUUUUUAAGUCGGAUGUGAAAUCCCUGAGCUUAACUUAGGAAUUGCAUUCGAUACUGGGAAGCUAGAGUAUGGGAGAGGAUGGUAGAAUUCCAGGUGUAGCGGUGAAAUGCGUAGAGAUCUGGAGGAAUACCGAUGGCGAAGGCAGCCAUCUGGCCUAAUACUGACGCUGAGGUACGAAAGCAUGGGGAGCAAACAGGAUUAGAUACCCGUGUAGUCCCUGUCUCUUAUAC